rnacentral:rRNA from 1 species
CCUACGGCGGCAGCAGUGGGGAAUAUUGGACAAUGGGGGGAACCCUGAUCCAGCCAUGCCGCGUGUGUGAAGAAGGCCCUCGGGUUGUAAAGCACUUUCAGUGAGGAAGAACGCCUGGUGGUUAAUACCCAUCAGGAAAGACAUCACUCACAGAAGAAGCACCGGCUAACUCCGUGCCAGCAGCCGCGGUAAUACGGAGGGUGCGAGCGUUAAUCGGAAUUACUGGGCGUAAAGCGCGCGUAGGUGGCUUGAUAAGCCGGUUGUGAAAGCCCCGGGCUCAACCUGGGAACGGCAUCCGGAACUGUCAAGCUAGAGUGCAGGAGAGGAAGGUAGAAUUCCCGGUGUAGCGGUGAAAUGCGUAGAGAUCGGGAGGAAUACCAGUGGCGAAGGCGGCCUUCUGGACUGACACUGACACUGAGGUGCGAAAGCGUGGGUAGCAAACAGGAUUAGAUACCCGAGUAGUC